rnacentral:sRNA from 1 species
GAGAUGGCCACCAACCUCAUGAUUCUGCACAGCUAUAUACUAGUGAAGAUUCAUGUUAAAAAUGGAGAUCACAUGAAAGGGGCUCGCAUGCUUAUUCGGGUGGCCAACAACAUCAGCAAGUUUCCAUCACGUAAGUACCACUGACCACAGCUCUCACCCAUGCCCCACGCUGCAUGCUAGCACAGUGCCCCUUUUGCAGGUUCCCCUCAUACACUAACUCAUUUAAUUAUCACAGCAGCUCCAUGAAGUGGUAUGUCAGGGCCCCAAGACCACUCCCAGGUUUGAUGAUUCUUCACUGGGAGGAUUUACAAGAGUCAACACACAGUAGUACCAAAGCCGAGAUUUAUCACAGCAAAGGAUCUGAGGCAAAAUGAGCAGAAGGAUUCACCCAAAGGCGAGCAGGUGCAGGCACGGACCUCCGAGAGUCCCUUCCCAGUGGAACACACAGGACGCAAGUUCAGUAACUCCUCCAAGACUGACUUGUACAACAUGGUGAAACGUAGAGUGCCAAGAAGCUCACUGGAGACUCAGCAGCCAGGAGUUUUAUUGGGGUGUGGUCACAUAGGUGCCCCCUGCCUGGCAUGUACCCAGUUUUCCAGGCUCCCAGAGAGCAGGUGUUCGGCAUAAACCACAUUGUUUAUACAGAGAUUUUAGGCACGGUGAGCCACUCAUCAGUUCUGGAAACGGUGGGAACCGUCUCCAAAUCUAUGUUCCAGAUGCGAGCCAAGGGUUAGCUGUUCAAGCCUUUCCAAGGAUGACAGUCUCAGGCCUGCACACACAAGUACUUUUCUGAACAAACUGGGACAAAAGAAAAGAAAUAACAUUUGCCCAAGAUCACAUUGUCAGCCAAUAAUAGCCUGACUCUGUGUUCGCAAGCACGGUAGAACGUUGCCUCUGAAAAGGCCUCACUAUCCUAAAAGACAUGUCAUGAUAACAUUCUUAAAUGAUUAAAUACUGUCACAUUAUAUGACAGGGAUCAGCAAACUUUUUCUGCAAAGGGCCAGAUGUUAAAUAUUUUAGACUUCGUGAGACAUAUGGUCUCUGUCACAACUGCUCAACUCUGCCAUCUUCUCAUGAAUAAUACAUAAACGAAUGGGCAUGAUUGUGUUUCAAUAGAGCUUUAUGUUUGGACACAAAUGUUAACCAUAUACACUUUUAACAUGUCACAAAAAUAUUUUGAUGUUUUUUCAACCAUUUAAAAAUGUAAAAAUCAUUCUUAGCUCAUGGACUGUACAAAAAGUCAGAGGGCUAGAUUUGGUCCAUGGGUCAUAAUUGGCCAACCCACAUUCUCUAAGUGUAUUUUUGUUGUUGCUGUUACAUGAAAGUCUACCAUGCGGGCAAGGUGUGGGAUAGGACAGGCACUCUCAUGACUGCUGGUGGGGAUGGAAAUUGGCAUGGCCUUUGCAGAAAGCAGUUUGGCAAUUUGUGGUAAGAGUAUUUUUGAAAAAGUCGUGUUUUUGAGCCAGUAAUUCUGGGUGUCUGUCCUGAAGAAAGAAUUUGAUGCCUGCCAAGAGGUUAGUGCAUAAAGUCAUUAAUCCCCCAAUGCUUUUAUCAGCAGUCCUGUCAGAUGCAAAAAAUAUAUCUAAGAGGCGUAAAAGGAAACUCACGGAAGUGUUGCCUCAAGGGAUGCAGGUCCCAGUGUUACAAGGCAGAACAUGAUGUCAUCAAAGGAAAAGCACUUGAUGGGCAGUUAGCCUGACCCCACAGCUACGUACUUUCCUCAUUAAACAGAUCGUAUCUGGUUCUUUGCAGAAAAAGCAAAGUUCAGAGACUAUGACCCUGUUUUCCUACAGAACCAGGGUGGAGUCCCGCCUGUAUCACUGAGGACAGGAGACACUGUGCUCUUGCUGCUCUCCCCUUUUCUCUUGCAGACAUCGUACCCAUCCUGACGUCAACUGUGAUUGAGUGUCACAGGGCAGGCCUGAGGAACUCUGCUUUCAGCUUCGCAGCUAUGUUGAUGAGGCCUGAAUACCGCAGCAAAAUAGAUGCCAAAUACAAAAAGAAGAUCGAGGGAAUGGUCAGGAGACCCGAUAUAUCCGAGAUAGAAGAGGCCACGACUCCAUGUCCAUUCUGCAAAUUUCUUCUCCCAGAGUGUGAACUCCUCUGUCCUGGAUGUAAAAACAGUAUCCCAUAUUGCAUUGCAACAGGUCGACACAUGUUGAAGGAUGACUGGACAGUGUGUCCACAUUGUGACUUCCCUGCUCUAUACUCAGAAUUGAAGAUCAUGCUAAACACUGAAAGCACAUGUCCUAUGUGUUCAGAAAGAUUAAACGCUGCUCAGCUGAAAAAGAUUUCAGACUGUACCCAGUACCUGCAAACGGAGGAGGAACUGUGAGUGCCAUGUGCAGAUACAAUGCUCCUGAGAAGACAGCAUUUUCCACAGGAGGCUGUUUCCUCCCCUGGUGGAUUUAAGAGACGGUCCUUUCUGGAUACAGAGAAAUGAAACAACGGUGACCUCUCCAGGUCGGCACUUUCCGCUUCUGUACAGUGGCAAAACGAUGACAUGUAACCUUGCUGUUUAUUGUACUUUGUUUAUUUCCUCUUCAAAGUCUUACACACUCUAUCCUCUGCACUGUUAAUAGUAACCUAUGACAUAAUUGUAAAUAUUCAGCUUUUUGAUAACUUUUGUAUUUUGAAAAACUUUAAAAUAAAAUUGUUGACUAG